rnacentral:rRNA from 1 species
UACAGAGGAUGCAAGCGUUAUCCGGAAUGAUUGGGCGUAAAGAGCGUGUAGGCGGCCAUGCAGGUCAGCUGUGAAAACUCGAGGCUCAACCUCGAGACGUCGGUUGAAACCGCUUGGCUAGAGUCCGGAAGAGGAGAGUGGAAUUCCCGGUGUAGCGGUGAAAUGCGCAGAUAUCGGGAAGAACACCCGUGGCGAAGGCGGCUCUCUGGGACGGUACUGACGCUGAGACGCGAAAGCGUGGGGAGCGAACAGG